GAAAUUUCCAGAAACUCCACGGAAGUUUCUUAGGGCUUCUUUACGAGAAAAAAUGAACGAUGAACACAAACUCGUAAACAGGCAACAAAAAAGGGACUGUGUUACAAUGCAAUACUGAGAGAGUGCAGUGUUGUUUUUGCUGUGAUGGUUACAAGUUCUGCUCAGAAUGUUCAUCUUUAUAUUUUGUUAUUUUCCAGACCCUUGUGUGUUAAUAAAUACUAAUCAGUUACAUUUUAUG